rnacentral:lncRNA from 7 species
GCACAAUACCUACAGCAUAGUGCAGGCAAGAAAGGCAGGUAGGAAAAUCUCUCCCUAUACACACAUAGAAAUACCUUGAUAUGCUUUGUAACGGCUUCUAUAUUAAGUCCUUGACCCACAAUUUAGGGUCCUCUGCAUUCCAGUAGCACACUGCAUGCAGUGUGACGUAGGUGGACUCAAAGCCCCUAAUCCCCAUCUAAAACUCUGUUCUACAAAAAAAAUCAUCCUCAAAGCCCCACUAAGUAUAUUCUCCAGUUUUGGUGCUGGGACCUCAGGAUUCUUCCUUGUUUGAAAAAGAGCUUUGGUUUCCUUGAGAGCUUGCACCCUCAGUAUAAGAGCGGGCCCAUAGCUGCCUCUGCCUCCAGUAUAUUCACAAGACUUCUUGUAUCAAGACAGAAGUCUUACCCCAUGUACAAACCUUACCAGUUGCCAAAUGUUGGGAAAGUUUCUGACUUCAAGAACUGUUAUGAAAAGCCCACAGUUUCUGAAUUCUGACUGCAUCUCCAUCCAGCGUGACAGCAUCCAAGCCACAGUUUGCUCGCUGCAUCUCCUUCCACUGCUACAGUAAAAAGACUGACAUAAACUAGACUUGAACCAGGCAGUCUGCAGUCUUGUAGUCACUUGGAGCCUUCGAAGAUUUAAACAUUCAAAUAAUGUCAGCUGCCUGAAAUCUAAAUAGUUUGAAGAGCAAGGCCUCAGGAUAAGCCUGCUAACCCACCUAAAUUUAUGCCAUUGAGAAUGCCAGCCCUGAUGUCUCACCUGAUACCUGUGGAGAAGCAACUGUGAAUUGAGAACCCACCUGGUUAAUGAACACAACACAGUAUCUUGCUUCUUAAUUGGGAGGUAUAAUCAGUGUUAAUCUUAUGGGUGUGCUAUUAACUAUCCAUCCAAAGGGGAUGUUUGUUUUGCAACUUCCCUCUUCCUUAAUGGCAGCUUUUCCCCAGUCUGCACAAUCAGUCACUCUGCGGUUCACGGCUAUAAAUAUUUUUCCUUGAUAGC